AGGACAAACGCUGGCGGCGUGCCUAAGACAUGCAAGUCGAACGGUGGGGCUUGCCCCACAGUGGCGGACGGGUGAGGAACGCGUGGGCAACCUGCCCCGGGGUGGGGGAUAACACUCAGAAAUGGGUGCUAAGACCGCAUACGAGUGGGGGACGGAAGGUUCCUUAGGGAAAAGCCUUCGGGCUGCCCUGGGAGGGGCCCGCGUCGGAUUAGCUAGUUGGUGUGGUAACGGCGCACCAAGGCUGCGAUCCGUAGCUGGUCUGAGAGGACGACCAGCCACACUGGGACUGAGACACGGCCCAGACUCCUACGGGAGGCAGCAGUUAGGGAAUUUUCACAAUGGGCGCAAGCCUGAUGGAGUGACGCCGCGUGCAGGACGACGCCUUUCGGGGUGUAAACUGCUUUUCUUCGGGACGAGAACGGACGGUACCGGAGGAAGAAGCCUCGGCUAACUACGCGCCAGCAGCCGC
rnacentral:rRNA from 1 species